rnacentral:rRNA from 1 species
CGCAUCUGUGCAUGCAGUAUAUCAAUAAGCGGAGGAAAAGAAACUAACAAGGAUUCCCCUAGUAACGGCGAGUGAAGCGGGAAGAGCUCAAAUUUGAAAUCUUAAAGGGUUUCCCUUUACGAAUUGUAGUUUAAAGAAGUGUUUUCUGUUGAGGUUUUGGUAAAAGUUCUUUGGAAUAGGACAUCAUAGAGGGUGAGAAUCCCGUAUUUGACCUUUACUUUCAACUUUGUGAUACACUUUCAAAGAGUCGGAUUGUUUGGGAAUGCAGUCCAAAAUGGGUGGUAAAUUUCAUCUAAAGCUAAAUAUUGGCGAGAGACCGAUAGCGAACAAGUACCGUGAGGGAAAGAUGAAAAGAACUUUGAAAAGAGAGUUAAACAGUACGUGAAAUUGUCAAAAGGGAAGCGUCUGACACCAGUGUUGUUUUUCUGAAAAUCAAUUAAAGAACUGUUUAUGCUAAGCUGUUUAGACUUUAUCAGCUAUCUGUUUAGUUUUGAGCUUUUCUUUAAUGCACUUUUCAGUUAACAAGUCAACAUCAAUUUCUUUUGCUGUAAAAAAGCUUGAGGAAGGUGGCUUGAGAUUCGUCUUAAGUGUUUAUAGCCUCUUGCCUAUGCAGUCGGAGAGAUUGAGGUCUGCAGCGUAGAUCCUUCGGGGCUAAAUGCAUUUGUGCUAAGUUAUAGCAUUUUAUAGACAACUUGUUGACUAUGAUUUGUCUUGUAGCUUACUCGCUUAUGUUAUUUUACCUACGCUUAGGAUGUUGAAUCUGUGCGAGACUAC